ensembl:misc_RNA 7SK 7SK RNA
GGACGUGAGGGCGAUCUGGCUGAGACACGUGUCACCCCAUUGAUCACUAGGGUUGAUUCGGUUGAUCUGGCUGGCUAGGCGGGUGUUCCCUUCCUCUCUCACUACUCCAUGCACAUCCUUCCAAAAGCUGCAUGCUCUGUUGGUCAAAGAGGACGACCACCUCCAAUAGAGGAGGAUGAUAUCCUCGGCCAAGGGUAUACGAGUAGCUGCACUCCCCUACUGGAAGCUCCAAAUAAACUCUCAAGAGCAUAGGAGAUCAAUUCUCACUGCCUCUGUGACUUGCAGAGGUUGGAUCUAGGCACACAAUUACUACAUUGAAAUGCCACUCU